rnacentral:lncRNA from 1 species
UUUUUUUUUGCUUUUUAGUGUCCCACCCACAGCAUAUGGAAGUUCCCAGGCUAGGGGUCGAAUCAAAGCUACAGCUGCCAGCCUACACCACAGCCACGCAGGAUCCGAGCUUCACUGGCGAUGUACACCACAGCUCAUGGCAACGCCGGAUCCUUAACCCACUGAGCGAGGCCAGGGAUUGAACCCACAACCUCAUGGUUCCUAGUUGGAUUCGUUUCUGCUGCGCCACGACGGGAACUCCCCCACUGUGAUUUUUCAGGUGGAUCAUUCAAACAUGGGUUCAAUGCCAGGUAGAAUCAUCAGAAAAACCAGAACUAGCAGAGAUGUAUUUCAUGACACCAAUUAGAUGAACUGGAAUGCCACUGGUGGUAAACUGAAGUUAUGGUAUUAAGGCAAAAAUCUGGAUCAGAUGAUGUAUUAAGAGUGCAGGAUUACUAAACAGAGUGGCACGACAUACCUAUUCAGAGCAUCAAGCAGAUCAAGGGUGAGAACCAAGUAAGAAACAGAGGUAAUGAAGACAUUAAGGGGGAAGCACUGGGAAGACCAGAGGACCAAAUACAGGAAGAAAAAUAAAGAUCAAGAGAGAAGAAUAUAAAUACUUAUCACGUCAGAAUGCCAACAGAGUCAGCGACGUCUACACAGACAGAAGACCACUUAUCUGAUGCAACUGAUAUUUCUCAAUCCAAAAAUGUCAUGUAAAGUAAAACAAACAAGGUUUUACAAUUGUAUAUUUACCUAAAACCUUAUUUUGAAAUUUUAUUCUAACCAAAACGUAUUAAUGUACCAGUCUUUGAAAUAGAACUAAGACCUCGUGCAUGUGGAUCUAUUGUCUAUUCUUUCUCGUAAAAACCACAUACUGCUUUUAUAAUCUAUGGGCUGUGAUUCCAAGUUUGGCUUUCUUCAAAGGGAAGCAAGAGUUUUGAGUUAAAUACCAAAUAAUGUAUGAAUUUUUGAAGAUUUUUAAAAAUUUGUUUCCCAACCUUUGUUUCACAUUCACCAACUGAUUGGAAGCAUUUUACCCACCAGUUUUUUUUCAAAUCUUUCUGAAACUUGACAUUCAGAUUUCACCAAAACAACAAUUCUCUAUCUUUUGUAGUUUAUUUCAUGAGGUUGCAUAAAAGUUCAUUAAAUUGUAUAACCACCUAAAUGAGUAUAACUUGCAUAAACUCACGUUUGGGAAGAAACAAGACUAAAUCUUGGUAACUAUGGGGCAGGAGUCCAUGGAGUUGACUGUAUACUCUAGAUAACUUACUAGCUGUGAACUUUGGCACACCUUGGCCUUAACAGGAGGAGGAAGUGUGUCAGUUUAUCUAACAAGUUGGUUAAAUCGAUGCCUGUUAACAAGUCUUCUGUUCUACCUGGGGGCAUGCACGUUGGUUGAUUUUCCCUUGAAAAUAAAAUAAUUUAAAAAGGAAAUAUGUAUCGAGAACUUGCUGAUUUCCAGGCACCAUCUUAGUUGUUUUUUUUUUUUUUUUUUUUAAUUUAAGCCUCACAAUUGCCUUAUGAAAUGGGUAUAGCCUUGUCAUAUGACAGUGAAAUAGAUGCAAAUUCAGGAGAAUCAGAGCCAGGACUGACACCCAGGCCUGCUAAUGGCUGAGUCACGGUCUUUCUCUCCAGGAGAGGAAGCUGAUGAGAUUCUGUCAACAGGACCAGGCAAGCAGGAGCUGGAAGUGCGUGCUUCUGUGUUUCUCUGCACUUUCUCACAUAAAGCUAAUAGCUAAAAGGCUGGGUUUUCUUCCAUACCCAAGGAAAAACUAAUUUGCUUUUCUUAUAUUUGUACAAUUGAAGAUGAUUUUCAAAAAUCUCAUACUGGACUGCUGUACUCCUGUAGUCUGAAAUAAAGUAAAAUAACGAGCCUUGAUGGAAAGCAGUUGAGGAAGGCAUUUGCUAUUGCAAUUUUUAAAAAUCACCCUGGGCUUACCCAGAAUGAGUUUCCACAGAGACCAUCAUCUUCAGUACUGAAGAAAAAUAUACAUCUUCUUUUAAAAUGUCUCCUGUGACUUAAUUGACAUUUUUAAUAUUUUACCUUAAAAAGUUUCAAAUUAACACAAAGUUAAAAAGAGUAAGGUAGUGACUCCUAUGCCCUAAUCACCCAGGUUCAGUAAUUGCCCACUCAUGGCCAUCUUUCAACUACCCUUCACCCACGACCCUCCUCUUGGAUGGUUGUGAAGCAAAUAGGCAUCGUACUAUUUUAUUUGUAAAUAUUCUAGCAUGUUUCUCCAAAAGAUGGAGACUUUAAAAAAUAAUACUCAAAGUGGAAGUUCCCACAUGGCACAGUGAGUUAAGGAUCCGGGGUGGCCACGGCUGUGGCGCAGGUUGCAGCUAUGGUGCGGGUUCAGUCCUUGGCCUGGGAACUUCCACAUGUUGUGGGUAUGGUAAGAAAAGAAAAAUAAAUAAAUAAAUAAAUAUGGAAUUGCAGCUAAAAAACUGAUAAUGCUUUAAUAUCCAAUGUCCAAUUAUUGCCGCCCAAUCAUAAUGCUAAUACGAACAUCGAUAAUAUACUUCCAAAACAUUUUUCAAAGUUAAAGAAUGUUUGGCAGCUCCGUCUUUAAGCUCUGUCCCACGUGGCGUGUACAAGGACACCCCUGCGCCUUCGGUCCUCAGCUCUUCUCUGUAAGGAUGUGCCACCAACGCUGUGCGGAGUCAGUGCCACGUGGUUCAUUUUCCUUUCCAGUUUGAAGGAUUCCUUUUCAGUUUUGUUGAAGGAUUAUGUAAGCCGUGCAUACGUUUCAAUGUCAGAUCUGCAACAUGAGGUCGCUGAAGAGACGCUGAGUUUCUGUCCCUGGAACCUUCACCUCGUUCUCUACGCCCCUCUAAGAAACCAAUCUUUAAAUGUUUGUUUUUCCUUCAAUUUUUAAAAGAUAAGCAAAUACAUAUAUGGACUUAUGUAGGCCCCCAUUUUUGCUACAUGAUGGCUACGUUACAUGCAUUUCUCUAGUCUGUAUAUUUUACUGAGUGUAUUCUAGAGAUUCCCCCACAGUAAAAUAUUGAAAUCUGACAUAUUCAAUUUACAGCAUAAGACUCUUCGUGUGGAUGUUUUAUCACUUUUAAACAAGUCCCCUAUUGCUUUAACGAAUAGUGACAUUCAAAAAAAAUUAUACAAAUUUUGCACUUUUUUGAAAGUUCUUAAUAAAUCAUGACUUUUUUUGAACCAUCCAAAUUUUUUUUUUUUGCUUUUUAGGGCCCCACCCAUAGCGUAUGGAGGUUCCCAGGCUAGAGGUCCAAUCGGAGCUACAGCUGCCGGCCUACACCACAGCCACAGCAACGCAGAAUCCGAGCCACGUCUUCGACCUACACCACAGCUCAUGGCAAGGCUGGAUCCUUAACUCACUGAGCGAGGCCAGGGAUCAAACCCAAAACUUCAUGGUUCCUAGUCCAAUUCAUUUCUGCUGAGCCAUGAUGUGAACUCCUCAGCCACGACAGGAACUCCCCCCAAAUUUUAUAUAUUUUAUACAUAUAUGCAUUAUAUGAACACACAUAUAUAAUGUGUGUGUGUGUAUAUAUAUAUAUAUGCAUACCCAUGUAGUUCAUAUGUACUAUCAUGGCUAAAAAGGCAUAGAAAGAUUUCAGAAUUUGCUUAUCUAUUUAUAUGAAAGGGUGAGAAUAUCAGCGUCUUAGUUUUGUUCCUGAACUGCCUUUCUUUCUCCAAAAAAAACUUCUGAUUUGAGGCCUAAGUAAAUUCCAACAUGGAUAAUAUAAAAUGAGAAAUUUUAAAAAUAUGAUUGAAACUUUUUGAGGAAAAAGUAGAUUUAUUACUUUUUGCAUAUUUUCAACUGUUAUUGUCUUUUCUAGGCUUAGACCUGGAAGAAACUGCUGUUGCUGCUAUAACAAUAAAGCCAAAGGAAUUUGAGACCAGGCUCUGAGGUUUGCCAUGUGUUUUGGUAGCAUUUACCUCUGCUCUCCUUCUCACUCUCUUAUAAUUAUAUUCAUUUUUUUAAAAGCAAGCAGAAUACUUAUUAAAAAUUUCUAUCAUACGUGAAUUUCUAAAUGAAUUACCAAUGCAUUUCCACGAAAGCCAAAUUUGUUCCUAGCUUCUUUUUUUUUUGGUUUUUUUUUUAGGGCCACACCCUCAGCAUAUGUAAGUUCCCAGGCUAAGGGUCAAAUGGGAGCUGUAGCUGCUGGCCUACACCACAGCCACAGCAAUGAUGGAUCCUUAACCCACUGAGCGAGGCCAGGGAUGGAACCCACAUCCCCUCAUGGAUACUAGACAGAUGCAUAACCCGCCGAGCCACAAUGGGAACUCCCUGUGUUCCUAGCUUCUUAUGCAUGUUGUUUUGGAGCUAAUGCUUUUAUUCCCAGCAGAAAUAAAUACAUCAUUAUUAACAAUACACGCUGCAAUCUCAAAUUGAGUCCAGCAAAUGACUUUUCUUUGAACUUCUUGAAAGAAUUCCGUGUUCACUGAAAGUGGCAGGAAUAUCGAGCAAGUUGGUCUCACACGCCCUUCGACCUGUACUUUCAGUGGUGACAUCUCGCAAAACUGUAGUAAAAUAUUACAACCGGGAGAAUGAAAAUGGCACAAUCUAGGAAGCUUACUCAAAUUUCCUAAGUUUUACAAGCACUCGUGUGUGGUGGUGGGGCGACGGGGCGCCGUACACGCCAGUGUAUCAAUGUAUUGGGUGUGAUUUUAUCACGUGGGUAGAUUCAUGUAACCGUCACUGCGGAUCCAGACACAAAAAUCAAUAUCCUUUUGUUACCCCUGCACAGCCACACCUCUAUCCUUCCUUGUCUGACCUUUUUCAAGCAUUUCCAUCUCUACAGAGACCACCUCUCUAAUUUUUGUCAUUUCUGGAAUGUUGGAUAGAUGACGUUUUAUAAAGCAGCAUUUUGAGGCUGGUUUUUUAAAACUCAGCCUUAUUUCCUUUAGAUGAACCCCAGCUUUUGCCCGUCCUGCUAGAUAACAGUCUUGUUAUGCUCGCAUCACAGGUUUUUUUGGGUUUUUUUUCCCCCAGUCACUUGUUGAAAUACAUUUGGGUUGUUUCCAGUUCGAGGCUAUUACCAAUAAAGCUCCUAUGAACAUUCAUGUACAGGUUUUUGUGUGAAAAUUAGUUUUCAUUUCUCUGGGAUAAAUGCCCAAAGCUACAAUGGCUAAAUUGUGCAGUAAGUGCACGCUGCGUUUUUAAAGAAACUGCCACACUAUUUUCUAGAGUGACUGUGACAUUUUCAUUCCCACCAGCAUGUAAGCGAUCUGCUUUCUGCGUUCCCAGCAGCAUUUGGCGCUGUCACUGCUUCUUAUUUUAAGGGCUGAUAGGAUGGAGUGACGUUCAUGGUUUUACUUUUCAUCACCUGGAUGGUAAACAAUGUUGAUCGCCUUGUCAUGUGUUUGGUGACCAUCUGUAGGUCCUUCUCUGUGAAAUGUGAAAUCCUUUGCUCAUUCCCUGAUUGACUAUUCAUGUUAUUACUAUUGAGUUUGGGGAGUUCUUUACAGAUUCUAGACAUAAGACCUUUAUUGGAUAUCUUCAUCUUUUUCUUUUUCUUUUUCUUUUUUUUUUUUUUUUAUCUUUUGUCUUUUUAAGGGCCACACCCGCGGCAUAUGGAGCUUCCCAGGCUAGGGAUUGAAUCGGAGCUACAGCUGCCGGCCUACACCACAGCCACAGCAAUGCAAGAUCCGAGCCAUGUCUGCAACCUACACCACAGCUCACGGCAAUGCCGGAUCCUUAACCCACAGAGCGAGGCCGGGGAUCGUACCCGAAACCUCAUGGUUCCUACUCGGAUUCGUUUCCGCUGUGCCACGACGGGAACCCCAGCUUCAUCUUUUUUAUUCUCCUCACAGGGUCUUCCAGAGAGUUAAAGUUCUUAAUUUUGAUGAGGUCUAAUUUAUCAGUUUUACUUUUUUAUGGAUUUUACUUUAUUUGGUGUCAAGUCUAAAAACGCUUCACCUAGCUCUAGGUACCAAAGAUUUUCUUCUGUUUUUUUCCCCAAAAGUUGUAGUGCAUUUACAUUUAACAUCGAAGUCCCCAUGACAUGUUUUGAGUUAAUUUUAUGUAAGGCAUAAAGUUUCAGUUGAGGUUCAUUUGCACCUUUUUUUUUAACCCUCAGAGUGAAAGGUCAGAAAUA